rnacentral:rRNA from 1 species
GAUGAACGCUGACAGAAUGCUUAACACAUGCAAGUCGUUCGCGAAGCUGUGCUUGCACAGCCUAGCCGUGGCUGACGGGUGAGUAACUCGUAAUGAACUUGCCCUGCAGUCAGGGAUAACAUACUGAAACGACUGAUAGGACCUGGUAAAGACAGGCGGACUCAUGUCCAGCCUGAAAAAAAGAGAUGCUGCAGGAUAGGCUUACGUCCUAUUAAGUAGGUGGUGGGUCAAUGGCCCACCAAGGCGAUGAUCGGUAGCUGGCCUGAGAGGGUGGUCAGCCAGACGGGGAAUGAGACACGGCCCAGACUCCGACGGGAAGCAGCAGUGGGGAAUAGUGGACAAUGGGAAAAAUGAUGAUGCAGCUAUGUCGGGUGAAUGAAGAAGGCCUUAGGGUUGUAAAGCUCUUUUAGCCGGGAUGAUAAUGACAGUACCGGGAGAAUAAGCUCCGGCUAACUCCGUG